CCAGCGAAAUUGCAGUUGUGGCCGAUGCCAGAGUCAGAUAACUGGCACCUGUAUCUGUGACACAUAAAAAGCACCCAUUACACUCUGUAGAAUGGUUGGUGGUAGGAAGGGCAUCCAGCUAUAGAAACCAUACCAGAACAGACAUAGAACCUGGCAGA